rnacentral:lncRNA from 1 species
GCUCCGUGUCCCCACAGAAAGGGGUGUUCCCGCGGGGCAGCCGGGCCCUGUGCCCCAGGCUCGCGGCCCCUCAGAGGCCCGCGGCAGCCGCUCGCCCCUCAGCCCUCUCCUCAGCUCUCCUCAGCCCUCUCCUCAGCUCUCCUCAGCCCUCUCCUCAGCCCUCUCCUCAGCCACCUCCUCGCUUCCUUCCUUCCAGGGGCCGGCGUGAAAAGUAUCACCGGGCUGUGAGGGACACCGGCGCCGUUACCCCGCCGCUCAGAGGCUUCCCGAGGCUCCCCCGACAGUCACAUCACAGUCACAGAGAAUGUCAGGCCGUUCACAAGGAAGUAGUGAAUUCCUGUAGUCCGGGAAGAGAUUUCAAGAACUGUCCUCAGGAAGAGGUAUGGAGGAAUAGGUAGGUAGCAUUACUUGAUGCUUUAUAGGGUCAACAAUCAUACUACUCUUAAAUUACUACCCUUUACUAUUUGGAGAGGAGACAGUAGCAUCCUGUUAGAAGAGGGCAGAUGGAAGACUAUGAGCUCUCGUUGUUCAUAACUUUUAACUCGGGCAUAAACACAUCCUUGGGAUGGUCUCAGCUUGCUUUGAACUCCCUAGUCAUUAUUGCAAAGAAGGUAACUCCCAUGAAUAGCAAAGCUGUUGGGUGUGGAAGUUUUGGAGAGCCUGAAAAUCAGGAUUAGUAGAGGAGGAGGUUCUGCAUUGCCUAGUGACAAGACAGGGCCCUGCAGUCUGUUCUUGGAACGCUUCAGAGAAGAAAAUAGUAAUUGUGCGACUAUUCUACAGAUGUUGCAGGUGGCCACAGACAACAUCACUGGAUACGUUCUCGAAAUUACUCCCCAGCGCUAACCUUGCACAAGAUCUGCUGGUGGAGUCCAGCAGUUCGUGCAAAGCAUCUUCAUGUGGUCAUCAUAAAAAUGGGCCAAUCCCCUGGCUUUUAGUCAUUAUAACAGAGCCAUGCAACUCUUUACAUUUUAUAUUUACAUGAUAUUGUAAAAAGUUGCCAGAAAAAAAAUCUGUUUAUAACUUUACUUCUGGAAACAGUGUUUACUCGUCUCAAGAAAGGAUUUCCAGAACUUUGGGUGACAAUUCAGCAAAAUUCUUGCAUAAUCUAUAGGAGAAUUGUUUACGUAAGCAUCAUAGCUUCAGUUUCAGGUAGCUUAAACAAGAAAAAUACUGAGCCAAAGUCUAAUCUGGUUUCAGGUAGUUUAAAUAAUUGCAGGCUUGUGGGGCCUUGCCAGGUCUUGUAAUGCAGACAUUCAGAUCAGUGACUAUGUAGAAAGGAUAAGACAGAGCUGCCUUCAUGUAAAGCUUCAUAUUAGCUUUUAGUCUUUCUGCAAAGCUCCAUUAACAGAUUAACAGUGACAUAAAAAUGUCUAUAGAUAAUACUUUUUACGUCUCCAU